rnacentral:tRNA from 1 species
UCCAGGGUAGCCUAGUGGACAUGGCAUCUGCCCGGUAAGCGGAACAUUGUGGGUUCGAUUCCCAUUCCUGAAC